GAAAAUGUAAAGGGAGACUGACUUGUACAAUGUAAUAUGUCCCUAGUUACCAUGAGAUAUAGUUUUUGCAGAUCUUAAGGCUACUUCUCAGUGGAUGUCUUGACCACUAGAUCUAGCACAAGUCCGGGUUUUUCUUUGAAUUUGAACUAUGUUUCUUGUCCAUUUAGACUAAUUUUUAUUACUUGUAACCGUCCCAGAUUUACAAUUCUUAUGAAUUACAUCUUUUCAUCAGGCUGCAUUUUUAUUUGCAGUUGCUGCUAAAAGAGUUUAUGUAGUUGCAUUACUUUAUUUAUACGUUACAUGUGGUGGACUAGUAAGCAUUCAAUUUAUAAAUAACUCUUGUUCUUUGAGCAUUGCUUUUGGAUUAAGUAUUGGCAAUAAAUCACCUUUCUUUUAUUGGAUGAUAACGUUUGGCGAUUACAAUGGUCAGGAAUUUGAUCAAAUUGGUUAAGAAGCGUAUGCUUUUCUCUGUAUUAUAUACUUUUUGAAGUUUUCUCUUCUAGAUUGGAAACAUUUUUCCCUUCUUUUUUGACAAUUUGAAAAUGAUUGUUGAAGGUUCCUAGUGUGCAAUUGUUGACCUCUUUUCUUAAUUUUCUUCGCACUAGUUAGAAAUGGAUUGUGAAUUUUGGAUAUGAAAGGAUCACAUGUCUUUCUUAAUCGAUAUAGAUUUAUUUAUAUGCAGUAAUUUUCUACUCGUCUUGUGUUCACCUAGGCAGAUAGUAAAUAAAUUGUUAGACCAACAUAUCAGCCCGAUAAAAGUUCUGUGACACUCACCAUGGCAAUAAUAGUUGUUGUGUUAUGCGGG
rnacentral:lncRNA from 1 species